CCUACGGGGGGCUGCAGUGAGGAAUAUUGGUCAAUGGGCGUAAGCCUGAACCAGCCAUCCCGCGUGCAGGAAGAAGGCGCUAUGCGUCGUAAACUGCUUUUCCAGGGGAAGAAAACCCGAUACGUGUCUCGGCUUGCCGGUACCCUGGGAAUAAGCAUCGGCUAACUCCGUGCCAGCAGCCGCGGUAAUACGGAGGAUGCCGGCGUUAUCCGGAUUUAUGGGUUUUAAAGGGGAUGUAGGCGGCAGAGUAGAAAACCUUCAGCUUAACGGGAGACUUGCCAUUGAUACUGUUAGUCUUGAGUACGGUCAAGGUAGGCGGAAUGUGUAAUGUAGCGGUGAAAUGCUUAGAUAUUACACAGAACACCGAUUGCGAAGGCAGCUUACUGGGCCAUUACUGACGCUGAUGCACGAAAGCGUGGGGAGCGAACAGGAUUAGAUACCCGUGUAGUC
rnacentral:rRNA from 1 species